rnacentral:rRNA from 1 species
CCUACGGGUGGCAGCAGUGAGGAAUAUUGGUCAAUGGUCGGGAGACUGAACCAGCCAAGCCGCGUGAGGGAGGAAGGUACAGAGUAUCGUAAACCUCUUUUGUCAGGGAACAAAGGCGGGGACGUGUCCCCGGAUGAGUGUACCUGAAGAAAAAGCAUCGGCUAACUCCGUGCCAGCAGCCGCGGUAAUACGGAGGAUGCGAGCGUUAUCCGGUUUUAUUGGGUUUAAAGGGUGCGCAGGCGGUCUGUAAAGUCAGCGGUAAAAGCACGGGGCUCAACCCCGGCCCGCCGUUGAAACUGGCAGUCUCGAGUUGGAGAGAAGUAUGCGGAAUGCGCGGUGUAGCGGUGAAAUGCAUAGGUAUCGCGCAGAACUCCGAUUGCGAAGGCAGCAUGCCGGCUCCACACUGACGCUGAGGCACGAAAGCGUGGGUAUCGAACAGGAUUAGAUACCCCAGUAGUC